CGCCCAGGCGCCCCAUGGACACAAUAUUACUGCUGUUCCUGCUCUGUUAAUCUAGUGUGAUGUCUUCAUUUUAUAGAUGAGAAACUGAGGCCCAGAGAGGGCAGAGCUUCAGCCAAGGCCACCCAGCAGGCCACUGGCCCCCUGACCUGGAAAGCAGCGCUCCAGGGUUCUAGCCCAGCUCUGUCACCAGUGACUGGUUGUGUGACCGUGGCCUGGUCUGUUUUCUCUGGACCUCGGUUUUCCUGUUGGUGAACCAACAAGGAAGGCUGGUCAUUCCUCCACCUGCUCCCAGCUCCAUCAGACCAGUGGAGGACACUAUGACCAAGCCCCAAGGCUUGUGCUCAGAGGUCUGGGGCUAGCAGUUGCUGAGGUCACUCAAGGACCCACAGGCACUGAGGACGUGCAGUGGAAUGCUACGUUAGAACAGCCAUCAUGGAAAUAAUUCGAAAAUGGGAAGAGCCCCCCACCAUCCUAGCUGCUGGCUUCGCCUCCCGGCAGCAUCGCUGAAGCACUUGCCAUGGGUCACACACCACGCUUUCCGUGGCUGCUCUCACUGAACCUGCACGACCGGCCAGUGAAGUAGGGACGGGCUGCGGAUAGGGAAACUGAGGCACGGAGCUGUCAGGUCAUCUCCUCAAGUCACACAGCUAGCAUGUGAUAAAGGAGCAUUUCUGAGUAGCCCCUGGUGCCAGCCCUGCCUCAGAGCAGAGACAUAAAACUCCUGAGACGGGGAGAGACAUCACCUUCGUUUUCUGCUGAUUUUCACUGAACUUAGCAGUAAGAGCUAUUUUGGUCACGGCCAUAUGACCCUGAGGCGAGAGUGGCCAACUAUCUCGGUUUGCCUCGGUUUCCUGGGAUGCAGAGCUUUUAGUGCUAAAGCAGGGACAGCCCAUGUGUUGCCCCGGGCAAAUGGAGACAGUCGGUCACCGUAGGGGCACAGAGCACAAUGUGCUUUCCGAGUCAUUGCCUGGUGUUGGACCCCUGCACUCUUUCCCUUCUUGGCUGGUUAG